rnacentral:rRNA from 1 species
UUGAAGGGUUUGAUUCUGGCUCAGAAUGAACGUUGGCGGCGUGGAUUAGGCAUGCAAGUCGAGCGAGAAGCUUGCUUCGGCAAGUGGACAGCGGCGAAAGGGACAGUAAUGUGUAGGCAUCUGCCCUGGGGUCCGGGAUAGCUGUGGGAAACCGCAAGUAAUACCGGAUGACAUCCCCGGAUCAAAGGUGUGAUUCCGCCCUAGGAGGGGCCUACAUCCUAUUAGCUUGUUGGUGAGGUAACGGCUCACCAAGGCGACGAUGGGUAACGGGUGUGAGAGCAUGACCCGUGUCAUUGGGACUGAGACACUGCCCAGACACCUACGGGUGGCUGCAGUCGAGAAUCUUCGGCAAUGGGCGAAAGCCUGACCGAGCGAUGCCGCGUGCGGGAUGAAGGCCUUCGGGUUGUAAACCGCUGUCAACGAGG